rnacentral:rRNA from 1 species
AUACGUAGGGGGCAAGCGUUGUCCGGAAUUAUUGGGCGUAAAGCGCGCGCAGGCGGUACAUUAAGUCUUGUGUUUAACUCCAGGGCUCAACCCUGGCACGCAUGGGAAACUGGUGUACUGGAGUGCAGGAGAGGAAAGCGGAAUUCCACGUGUAGCGGUGAAAUGCGUAGAGAUGUGGAGGAACACCAGUGGCGAAGGCGGCUUUCUGGCCUGCAACUGACGCUGAGGCGCGAAUGCGUGGGGAGCAAACAGGAUUAGAUACCCUGGUAGUCCACGCCGUAAACGAUGAGUGCUAGGUGUCGGGGGUUUCGAUACCUUCGGUGCCGAAGUAAACACAAUAAGCACUCCGCCUGGGGAGUACACUCGCAAGAGUGAA